AUUGAACGCCGGCGGCAGGCCUAACACAUGCAAGUCGAGCGGAUGAAGGGAGCUUGCUCCUGGAUUCAGCGGCGGACGGGUGUGUAAUGCCUAGGAAUCUGCCUGGUAGUGGGGGAUAACGUCCGGAAACGGGCGCUAAUACCGCAUACGUCCUGAGGGAGAAAGUGGGGGCUCUUCGGACCUCACGCUAUCAGAUGAGCCUAGGUCGGAUUAGCUAGUUGGUGGGGUAAAGGCCUACCAAGGCGACGAUCCGUAACUGGUCUGAGAGGAUGAUCAGUCACACUGGAACUGAGACACGGUCCAGACUCCUACGGGAGGCAGCAGUGGGGAAUAUUGGACAAUGGGCGAAAGCCUGAUCCAGCCAUGCCGCGUGUGUGAAGAAGGUCUUCGGAUUGUAAAGCGCUUUAAGUUGGGAGGAAGGGCAGUAAGUUAAUACCUUGCUGUUUUGACGUUACCAACAGAAUAAGCACCGGCUAACUUCGUG
rnacentral:rRNA from 1 species